GACGGGGGGGGCAAGUGUUCUUCGGAAUGACUGGGCGUAAAGGGCGCGUAGGCGGUGCCACAAGUCACCUGUGAAAUCUCCGGGCUUAACUCGGAGCCUGCAGGCGAAACUGUGGUGCUGGAGUGUGGGAGAGGUGCGUGGAAUUCCCGGUGUAGCGGUGAAAUGCGUAGAUUUCGGGAGGAACACCUGUGGCGAAAGCGGCGCACUGGACCAUAACUGACGCUGAUGCGCGAAAGCUAGGGGAGCAAACAGG
rnacentral:rRNA from 1 species